UUGGUUCGAAUUCUAGUAAGUUUUUCUUCAUGGAUACGAGCCUUGACAAGGUUUUUAACUUAACCUAACAACUUGUUCGCUGUUUGCUUCCGAAAUUUUGCUUGAAAAGCAUUAAAAUGGCACAAGGAAAGCUCAAAGUUAAAACGCAACUACCAGCAGGGGCAAAAAAGAAAGCUAAUAAAUCAAAAAAAGGUCCUGCCAUUCAAAGACGAGGAAAUGCUCCAGUGCAGCCCAAAAAGACGAAGCUUCAAGAAACUCAAAAGUUAAAGAAGAUGAUUUCGAAAACUGUAAACACCGCUGCGGAAGACGAGCUGCGAGGGCGAGUCAUGGAGGGAAGAAAAACUCUCACAAAGAAAACUUCUAGUUCGCAAAAAAAGAAAUAAUAUCGAUCGCCGUUGUGUAGAAGUUGCAUAAAAAUUUGUUGAAAAUUUUUAAAUUAAAAAUAAAAACUUACAUUUGUUCCAA